AUUGAACGCUGGCGGCAGGCCUAACACAUGCAAGUCGAGCGGAUGAAGGGAGCUUGCUCCUGGAUUCAGCGGCGGACGGGUGAGUAAUGCCUAGGAAUCUGCCUGGUAGUGGGGGAUAACGUCCGGAAACGGGCGCUAAUACCGCAUACGUCCUGAGGGAGAAAGUGGGGGAUCUUCGGACCUCACGCUAUCAGAUGUGCCUAGGUCGGAUUAGCUAGUUGGUGGGUUAAAGGCCUACCAAGGCGGCGAUCCGUAACUGGUCUGAAAGGAUGAUCAGUCACACUGGAACUGAGACACGGUCCAGACUCCUACGGGAGGAAGCAGUGGGGAAUAUUGGACAAAGGGCGAAAGCCUGAUCCAGCCAUGCCGCGGGUGUGAAGAAGGUCUUCGGAUUGUAAAGCACUUUAAGUUGGGAGGAAGGGCAGUAAGUUAAUACCUUGCUGUUUUGACAUUACCAACAGAAUAAGCACCGGCUAACUUCGUG
rnacentral:rRNA from 1 species